AGGACCGUACACCGGCGUCGCCGACGGCCGGGUGGUGUUCUGGAACGGCGAGGCGUGGUCGGAUUUCGCCUAUACCUCUCCUAACAGGUCAGAGCUUUGUGACCCCAAGCCUUCAGCUACAAGUUAUUUGAAGAACGAGCAUAUCUGUGGGCGGCCACUGGGUCUUCGAUUUGACAAGAAAACUGGAGACCUGUAUAUUGCUGAUGCAUAUUUUGGAUUGCUGAAAGUAGGCCCUGAGGGUGGUUUGGCUACAUCGCUAACCACAGAAGCGGAUGGAGUCCCACUGAAGUUCACAAAUGAUUUGGAUAUUGAUGAAGACGGAGUUAUUUAUUUCACUGAUAGCAGUACAAAUUACCAGAGGAGGAACUUCAUGCAGCUGGUUUUCUCUGCCGAGCCUUCGGGGAGGCUUCUAAAAUACGACCCCACUACAAAGGAAACCACUGUCCUCCUUCGUGACCUUCAGUUCCCCAAUGGCGUGUCCCUCAGCAAGGAUAAAUCCUUCUUCCUCUUCGGUGAAGGAUUACGUGGCAGAUUAAGUAAAUACUGGGUGAAGGGUGAAAAGGCUGGAACUACAGAGGUCUUUGCUACUCUACCUGGAUUCCCAGAUAAUGUGAGAACAAAUGAGAGAGGUGAAUUCUGG
rnacentral:misc_RNA from 1 species